rnacentral:rRNA from 1 species
UACGUAGGGGGCAAGCGUUGUCCGGAUUCAUUGGGCGUAAAGAGCGUGUAGGCGGCCAGGUAGGUCGGUUGUGAAAACUGGAGGCUCAACCUUCAGAGGUCGACCGAAACCAUCUGGCUAGAGUCCGGGAGAGGUGAGUGGAAUUCCCAGUGUAGCGGUGAAAUGCGUAGAUAUUGGGAGGAACACCAGUGGCGAAGGCGGCUCACUGGACCGGAACUGACGCUGAGGCGCGAAAGCGUGGGGAGCAAACGGG